ACUCUCCAAAAAGCAGAGACAGCAGGAAGAGGGGAGUGGAGGCAGCCCAUUCGCCUGGGGAAAUGACUGGGUUGUCGAUGGACAGUGGCGGCAGCCCCAAGGGGGACGUGGACCCGUUCUACUAUGACUAUGAGACUGUUCGCAAUGGGGGCCUGAUCUUCGCUGGACUGGCCUUCAUCGUGGGGCUCCUCAUCCUCCUCAGCAGAAGAUUCCGCUGUGGGGGCAAUAAGAAGCGCAGGCAAAUCACUGAAGAUGAGCCGUAACAGCAGGUAUGCUAGGAGGGCCUGGGGAAGGUGCGGGGAGGGCAGGGCAGGCUUGGGAGCAACAGGAAAGAAUUCUGGCUCCUGGACUCGGUAAAUAAGAAUUUUAGGGUCG
rnacentral:sRNA from 1 species